rnacentral:rRNA from 1 species
AUUGAACGCUGGCGGCAUGCCUUACACAUGCAAGUCGAACGGCAGCACGGGAGCAAUCCUGGUGGCGAGUGGCGAACGGGUGAGUAAUACAUCGGAACGUGCCCAGUAGUGGGGGAUAGCCCGGCGAAAGCCGGAUUAAUACCGCAUACGACCUACGGGUGAAAGCGGGGGAUCGCAAGACCUCGCGCUAUUGGAGCGGCCGAUGGCAGAUUAGCUUGUUGGUGGGGUAAAGGCCUACCAAGGCUACGAUCUGUAGCUGGUCUGAGAGGACGACCAGCCACACUGGGACUGAGACACGGCCCAGACUCCUACGGGAGGCAGCAGUGGGGAAUUUUGGACAAUGGGGGCAACCCUGAUCCAGCCAUGCCGCGUGCGGGAAGAAGGCCUUCGGGUUGUAAACCGCUUUUGUCAGGGAAGAAACGGUCCGGUCUAAUAAAUCGGACUAAUGACGGUACCUGAAGAAUAAGCACCGGCUAACUACGUGCCAGCAGCCGCCGUAACAC